rnacentral:rRNA from 1 species
UUUAUCAAAAACAUCGCCUCUUGCAAAACUAACGAAUAAGAGGUCCCGCCUGCCCGGUGACUUUAUGUUUAACGGCCGCGGUAUUUUGACCGUGCAAAGGUAGCGCAAUCACUUGUCUUUUAAAUGGAGACCUGUAUGAAUGGCAUCACGAGGGCUUAACUGUCUCCUUUCUUAGGCCAAUGAAAUUGAUCUCCCCGUGCAGAAGCGGGGAUAAUAACAUAAGACGAGAAGACCCUAUGGAGCUUUAGACACUAAGACAGCCUACGUCAAAAUACCCCUUCAUACAGAAAUGAACUAAAUAGGACCUGUCCUAAUGUCUUUGGUUGGGGCGACCCUGGGGAAAUAAAGAGCACCCAUGUGGACUGGAAACAUGUUUCCAAAACCAAGAGCAACCACUCUAAGAAGCAGAACUUCUGACCAAUCUGAUCCGGCAAAGCCGAUCAACGGACCGAGUUACCCUAGGGAUAACAGCGCGAUCCCCUUUUAGAGGCCAUAUCGACAAGGGGGCUUACGACCUCGAUGUUGGAUCAGGACAUCCUAAUGGUGCAGCCGUCAUUAAGGGUUCGUUUGUUCAACGAUUAAAGUCCUACGUGAUCUGAGUUCA